UGGGGAAUUUUGGACAAUGGGCGAAAGCCUGAUCCAGCAAUGCCGCGUGUGUGAAGAAGGCCUUCGGGUUGUAAAGCACUUUUGUCCGGAAAGAAAUCCUUGGCUCUAAUACAGUCGGGGGAUGACGGUACCGGAAGAAUAAGCACCGGCUAACUACGUGCCAGCAGCCGCGGUAAUACGUAGGGUGCAAGCGUUAAUCGGAAUUACUGGGCGUAAAGCGUGCGCAGGCGGUUUGCUAAGACCGAUGUGAAAUCCCCGGGCUCAACCUGGGAACUGCAUUGGUGACUGGCAGGCUAGAGUAUGGCAGAGGGGGGUAGAAUUCCACGUGUAGCAGUGAAAUGCGUAGAGAUGUGGAGGAAUACCGAUGGCGAAGGCAGCCCCCUGGGCCAAUACUGACGCUCAUGCACGAAAGCGUGGGGAGCAAACAGGAUUAGAUACCCUGGUAGUCCACGCCCUAAACGAUGUCAACUAGUUGUUGGGGAUUCAUUUCCUUAGUAACGUAGCUAACGCGUGAAGUUGACCGCCUGGGGAGUACGGUCACAAGAUUAAAACUUAAUGAAUUGACGGGGUCAUAGCUGUUUCCU
rnacentral:rRNA from 1 species